AUAUUGGGCAAUGGGCGCAAGCCUGACCCAGCAACGCCGCGUGAAGGAAGAAGGCCCUCGGGUUGUAAACUUCUUUUGACAGGGACGAAACAAAUGACGGUACCUGUCGAAUAAGCCACGGCUAACUACGUGCCAGCAGCCGCGGUAAUACGUAGGUGGCAAGCGUUAUCCGGAUUUACUGGGUGUAAAGGGCGUGUAGGCGGGCUGGCAAGUCAGAUGUGAAAACCAUGGGCUCAACCCAUGGCCUGCAUUUGAAACUGUUGGUCUUGAGUGCUGGAGAGGCAAUCGGAAUUCCGUGUGUAGCGGUGAAAUGCGUAGAUAUACGGAGGAACACCAGUGGCGAAGGCGGAUUGCUGGACUGUAACUGACGUUGAGGCUCGAAAGCGUGGGGAGCAAACAG
rnacentral:rRNA from 1 species